rnacentral:misc_RNA from 1 species
CGCAGUGCGCGGCUAUGAUGGUCGAUCGGGACGAGGUGGGUAUGUCGCGUGUGCCAGUUUUAGUGAUCCUGGGUGCCACGGGUUCUGGAAAAUCGCGGCUGGGCAUCGAAUUGGCGCGCCGUUUCUCCGGGGAAAUCAUCUCCGCCGACAGUAUGCAGGUGUACAAGGGUCUGGACAUCGUCACCGCGAAGGUGACCCCGGCGGAGAGACAAAUGGCGCCGCACCACAUGCUGGACGUCGUGGAUCCGCUAACCAAUUUCACCGUCUUGAACUUCAGAGAAAUGGCCUUACCGAUCAUAAACAACCUGCUGGCCACGAAGAAACUGCCCAUCGUCGUCGGCGGCACGAAUUAUUACAUAGAGUCGCUGCUAUGGGAUAUCCUGAUGAAGUAUCCGAAGGAACCGCCGGCACGAGUCGACUCAAGCGCGAUCAAUCCGAGCGCGUCGCUCGAGAAUAGAUCGGACGAUCGCUGCAGCGCGGCCGAUCGGCGGAACAACGACGACGACGACGACGACGACGACGACGACGACGAUGACGACGACGACGACGACGACGACGACGAGGAUGACGACGACGAGGACGACGACGGCGACGGCGAUGAGGUGGCGCCCAAGAAGAAGUGCAAGUUCGACGCGAGGUCGAGCGACUUGAGCAACGAGGAGCUCCAUCGGAGACUGAUGCAGCUCGACCCGGAGAGAGCGCGAACUUUGCAUCCCAACGACAGGCGGAAAGUCAUCAGGUCGCUGGAGAUUUUCUACCAGCACGGGAAAACGCACUCCGAGCUGCUGAGGGCGCAACACGCCAGCAGCGGCUGCGCGCUGAGCGGACCCCUGAGAUACGCCAACUCAGUGAUCCUGUGGCUACGUUGCAACAAGAUUGUCCGCGGCAAGAGGCUGAACGACCGAGUGGACAGCAUGCUGGAGGCCGGCCUGCUGCAGGAACUACUCGACUUUCAUCGCAGAUACAACGAGGAGCGAAUUCAGUCCACCGAGUCGCCCGAUUACACGAAAGGCAUCUUCCAGAGCAUCGGCUUCAAGGAGUUUCACGCUUACCUCACGUUGCCCGAGGAGGAGCGCGCGAGCGAGAAGGGCGAGAAACUGCUGAAACAAGGGAUCGAGGACCUGAAACUCGUCACCAGGAGGUACGCGAAGAAGCAAGACCAGUGGGUGAUGAACCGGCUGAUUCGCCGCGACGACCGACAGACUGCACCGACGUGAGCAACUGGAACAGCUGCAUCUUGGAGCCGUCGGUGGCGAUCAUUUCCGCAAUAAUGCGCGGCGAGAAGCCCGAGCAGCGGCCGCUGCUGAGCGAAGAUAUCGAGGACCAAAAGUACAGCGAUUACAACAAAAUGGAGUACAAUUAUUGCGAGGUGUGCGAGAGGGUGUUUGUGUUCAAGACUCAAUGGGACCUACACAUGAAAGGCUCGAAGCACAAGAGAGUGCUGAAGAAGAAGCAACGGGAGGCGCAGAAGGCGCUGGAGUGUCAAGCGACGGGGACACAGGAAACGGUUUUACAAACUAGUUCGUGACGGA